rnacentral:rRNA from 1 species
UACGGGGGGGGCAAGCGUUGUUCGGAAUUACUGGGCGUAAAGGGCUCGUAGGUGGCCAACUAAGUCAUACGUGAAAUCCCUCGGCUUAACCGGGGAACUGCGUCUGAUACUGGAUGGCUUGAGGUUGGGAGAGGGAUGCGGAAUUCCAGGUGUAGCGGUGAAAUGCGUAGAUAUCAAGUGGAACACCAGUGGCGAAGGCGAGUCUCUGGACAUUUCCUGACGCUGAGGCACGAAAGCCAGGGGAGCAAACGGG